rnacentral:rRNA from 1 species
AGAGUUUGAUCCUGGCUCAGGAUGAACGCUAGCUACAGGCUUAACACAUGCAAGUCGAGCGAAGCGCUUGCGAAUGAUCCUUCGGGUGAUUUUGCUGGUGACUGAGCGGCGGACGGGUGAGUAACGCGUGGGUAACCUGCCUCAUACAGGGGGAUAACAGUUAGAAAUGACUGCUAAUACCGCAUAAGCGCACAGUACCACAUGGUACGGUGUGAAAAACUCCGGUGGUAUGAGAUGGACCCGCGUCUGAUUAGCUAGUUGGCGGGGUAACGGCCCACCAAGGCGACGAUCAGUAGCCGACCUGAGAGGGUGAUCGGCCACAUUGGGACUGAGACACGGCCCAAACUCCUACGGGAGGCAGCA